UAAGUGUUUUUUUUAAAAUAAAGUGUAUCUAUCUUUGGCAGGAAAUCACAUGUAUUAUUAUGUAAUUUCCGUUAAAUCAGUGUAAAAAGGUCUCCAAACAAUAUUAUUUAUCUCAAUAAUUUUUGAGACAAUUAAUCGCUCAGCAAAAUCUGUUAUCGUGACAGGCCUAUAUCAAGCUAAUAUUUAUUUUUUCCAAAAUAAUAAACAUUUAUAUUGUGUUUCCAGGCCUGGCAUAAAACCUGUUUCCGCUGCGCUCUGUGUGGUAAAAGCCUGGAGUCGACCACAGUGACGGAUAAGGACGGAGAGCUGUACUGUAAAGUUUGCUAUGCCAAGAACUUCGGCCCAAAAGGAUUCGGUCUGGGCAACGAGGCCAUGUUGGAGGAACGAGAAUAAACUGGCGGUUCUGCUGAAGUUCAAACCCGAUCACAGCGUCUCAAAGCUGGAAGAUGGAGCAGCACAAACCAAACCCUCAGCAACAUUAUGAAAAUUGUAGAGGGAAAAAUGUGUGCAACACUAAAUAAGAGGUUUUGUUACAAUAAAAUUAAUUCUCAAUGAAGUUUAUAACAAAAGCAAUAAAGUUGGUUUGUUAAUG